UAUGCCUUCAGAAUAACUGAAUGGUGAUAUGAAAAACACCGUUUGGUAGACAGAGGCACAUAUCAAAUAUCAAACACCCAAAUUUGUUUGAGUGCACGGAACGAUACAACUUUUAUGUUCCUUACCUAGAUUAAUUCGGAUAUUU